CCUGGCGGCGAGAAUGCGAUAGUCCCACCUGAAUCCAUGCCGAACUCAGAAGUGAAAUGUCGUAAUGCCGAUGGUAGUGUGGGGAUUCCCCAUGUGAGAGUAGGUCACUGCCAGGU
rfam:Gallibacterium salpingitidis strain F150 contig000003, whole genome shotgun sequence.